AGUGAACGCUGGCGGCGUGCCUAAUACAUGCAAGUCGAACGGAGUGGCGCACGGGUGAGUAAUGUAUAGCUAAUCUUCCCUACACUAGAGGACAACAGUUGGAAAAGCCUGCUAAUACUCUAUAGUGGAGGAUGAGGCUAUAUUGUAUCAGCUAGUUGGUGAGGAAAUGGCUCACCAAGGCUAUGACGCAUAACUGGUCUGAGAGGAUGAUCAGUGACAGUGGAACGGAGAAACGGUGCAGAAGCCAACGGGAGUUAGCUGUAGGGAAAAUAACUAAAGGGGAGAAAACAUGAAACAGCGAGGGCGCGAAAAAGAGAAGACUUAUCGGAGCAUAAACUCCUUUUAUAAAGAAAGCGGUACCUAUCGAAUAAGCACCGGCGAACUCCUUGCCAGCAGCCGCGGUAAUAC
rnacentral:rRNA from 1 species